rnacentral:lncRNA from 1 species
AAAGUCUGCAAGUGGAUAUAUGGACCGCAUUGAGGCCUUCGUUGGAAACGGGAUUUCUUCAUUUCAUGCUAGACAGAAGAAUUCUCAGUAACUUCUUUGUGCUGUGUGUAUUCAACUCACAGAGUGGAACGUCCCUUUACACAGAGCAGAUUUGAAACACUCUUUUUGUGGAAUUUGCAAGUGGAGAUUUCAAGCGAUUUGAGGACAAUUGCAGAAAAGGAAAUAUCUUCGUAUAAUAACCAGACAGAAUCAUUCUCAGAAAGUGCUUUGUGAUGUGUGCGUUCAACUCACAGAGUUUAACCUUUCUUUUCAUAGAGGAGUUUGGAAACACACUGUUUGUAAAGUCUGCAAGUGGAAAUAUGGACCUGUUUGAGGCCUUCGUUGGAAACGGG